GGAGCAGGGCGCGGAGCUGCAGGGGGGCGCAGGCGGCGGGCAGCCGCGCCCCGGCGGCGACGGGCCCCAGGGACAGCGGGUCCUCCGCCAGGAGUCCGUCUAACCCGAAAGCGUUUCCGCGGCUUGUGGAACAGCGGAGGGCUUUGAGAAGCGCGGCGUGUCAGGCGGGAGCCGUGUCUGGAAAGCUGCUGGAGGGGGCUGUAAUCCCCGCGGCGGCGGCGCGCCGUGAGCCUGGCGGCGGUGGGCCUGGCGGAGCGUAGGAACGCAAAGAACAGAGAGAGGCAUCCCGUGCCAAAGCCUGAGUGACACAUCGGGCUGUGAAACAGCUUGGGCAGAGGCGUGAGCAGAACAGUGCAUAAGCAACACAUCCCCCAGCGGUGAGGAUACUUGCUUCCAAGAAAUCUCUCACUACUGAAUAGGUAUCAGCUAAGGAAAUCGGGUUAUUUGUAGCAGAAUCCAGUCUUGAGAUGAACAAAAACAUCUCAAGUCUCAGUCCAAGACAGAACAGUAUUGUUUUGGGCCCAGAGCAUGGCCUGGGGAGACCUGUGCUUUAUACACACAAAGCACUGGCUCUUUGCUUUUCCCUCCCUGCCUACACAGUCAAGAUGUUGUUUACCACAGUUGAGAAUUUUCACUGAAUAACUUGAUUUCCAUGGGGUAUUUAUUCAACUAGGCAAUUUUCUUUGUCGCCUGACCUGUCUCCCACUACAUCAAAAACCAAAACAAAAUGUUAGUGCAAUCAUAUGCAAAGGCUCACACAGUGUAGGCAAUGCCUUUAUAGCUGAUAGAGAAAGAGGAAAGAAAAGUAUAGGGGUAAGGUAUUUUAAAGCUAGGUAUAUAUACAGGGGUAGGUAUUUUAAAGCUUCAGGGCUAAGUUACGGGCUAUCUGUUAAACCAGCUUUGACAGCUGUCGCACAGUGAUACUGUGCAGGGCUAGUUAACAGGAUUCUUGGUGGCGUUGGGAAAAGAAACAGUAUUGCAAGGUAAAUCACCUUGUUGAAGUCUUUGGCUUGAGCCUCCUGAGUGUGAAAGGUUACUUCUCACCAAGCAGAAAUGGAGACCUCUAGGGUAUAUAGUAAAAAUUGUUGACAGCAAGGAUUCUGUUCUGUGUGUUUCACAGAGACGUAUCUAAAAAGGGAUCAGAUCUUAAAACCUAGCAGCAAGCAUGUCAACUGUCAGCAAAUUAAUCUUACUUGAGAAGUAACGCACCCAGUUAUUCUGGCUGGGCUUCUGUUUCAGCUGUGUCUCGCUCACAAUGCACGGCAUUUGACUGUUUCUGUUGCUGGUCAUAGCCUGUUCUUCUGAGCCUUGCACAGAUUGACGCAGCUACUGGGAUCCCUAGCCAGUUGUAGUAAAGUACCAAAGAUCAGGAAUAUUCAAAGCAACGUCAACUUCAGAACAGAGGAGCUGAGUCUGAUUAUCAGAACACACAAGAUAGUUUUGAACAAAUGCUUACCAACCUAACAAUAUGUUUCCAGUUCCACAUACAAUAUGGUCAGUUCCUAGAGUUUUAUGUCAUUUUUAAAAUAUUCUCAGGAGUGUUUUCAUGCCCAAUGUUAAUUUACACCAGUGUUCUUCAUACCAGUUUCUAUCAUUACGUGUAUCAGCAAGACCCUCCUGCUGUUUUGAAGCUACACUAAGGAUAUUAAAAAGGGCAAACAAUCCCACGGUGAUUCAGAAGAUGAUCUCCCCAGUAAGGUGGAACACCCACUGUGCCCUGUUUUAAUUGCUAGCACAUUCAGCAGAUAAACAAACUUAAUGAUUUCACAGGCAUUUCACUGGUCACGGAGAUGUGUUGCAAAGGGCUCAGAUUAAACAUGGAAAAUGUAACUUUGUUGAAGGUGAGGCUAAUAACUAGUUAUUAAAAAAAAUGCCUACUGUAUAACACAGUGGUAAUCAAAAUCGGUGGGACAAAUAAAAGUGUUUUGAUAUUUUGUCUAGUAUAGCUCUUUUCAUAGAUUCAUAAAAUCACAGAAUGGUUUGGGUUGGAAGGGACCUUAAAGAUCAUCUAAUUCCAACCCCCUGGUAUGGGCAGGGACACCUCCCACUGGAUCGGGUUGCCCAAAGCCCCACCCGGCCUGGCCUUGAGCACUUCUAGGGAUGGGGCAUCCACAGCUUCUCUCAGCAACCUGUUCCAGUGAGGAACAUCACUUAUAUUUUUAGAUCUUUUAGAUGCUUGAAAAUACAGAGUGUUAAUUUCAAGUGUGAUUAAAUAAAAACUAAUAUGUGGUGGUAGUUUCCAUUCUGGAAAGGGAACUCUAUGACUUGAAUUCAUAGUGAAGACAGUUACCCCUGACCAUGAUCUCUAACAUGCUCCUAUCACUCCUGUUCCUCUGGAAAUAUACCAUGGAAUUGC